ACAUCCGGGAUCUGUCUGCUCGGGCAAAUCCUGACCGCUAACGAGAUUACAAGUACACUGUAAAAAAAAUAAAUCUAAAAAUCGUUCUGGAAGGCUACAAAAAUAAGUUGCUUCAACUUUUUGUGGGAAACGAAGUUGAGACAAAAUGUUAUAUCAAGUACGGCACAUUUCAAGUAUUGCCCUUAAAGUAAACAUAAAACUUUAAGUUACGACAAGGUAAAAACGUUUCAUUCACGCAUGUCCAAAUCGUUGUUUGAUUUACACUUCCGGAAGAUCCAGGAAAGUGACUCCAUUUCAUUGCAUGUGGUAUUUUGUGAAGAUUUUGUUAAGUUCUAAGGUGUAUGGAGAAUUCAAACGAAUAACGGGAAUCGACCUUAUAAAACCUUCCAGUUUGCUUUGGAAACGUAUGCAAAUGGGCUUAUUCACAUGUUCAGAACAAAAGGAGGUGAUGAAAUCGGGACCCUUUUGGAAAGACUUGAUCAGCAGACUACAGACAUAACUGAACACCGUAGAUCAGUUGCAUUGAAAGGCCGUCCACAUUACCUGAGAGAGCACACACCACUAUUCAAGUCUUGUUUGGGAAGUUUUUUUUUCCCCCAAUCAUCAUAAAACUAACAAAUGUUACUCACAGUGGUGCAUUACAACAUUUGUGUUUAUAUGUUUUUAAGGUAACUAAGUCAAAGGAAUUGGACACUCAAGGUGUGAAAAUCAUGAUGAUUGAAAUGGUCAGAGAUGAAGAAGAUUCCGGGACACUAGACAGCAUGGCAGUUGUGAUUGAGGACACUGUUGUGGUUGAAGGACUGCCGGAUUAUCCCACUGCUUUUUGUGUACUGUUUGGGUUGAUUUAUGCCUUAAAUAUGGAGUAUCCUAAAGAAUGGAAGUACACAUUUGAGACCAUUCAGAAGGUCUUUCUUAAUCUUGGAGAACAAUGUUCGGCUCGUACCCUGUCCUUAAAAAAUAAGUUGUUGCAAGUUCUAAAGCUUUAGCCUGGCGUAUCAAUUAUGUUGAUAUUCAUUUUGCAAGGUUAGAAAUUAUAUAUAAGUAGAAUCUGUUGAUUGAGGGUAAAUGAUGUGCAAAUCUUAGUUUUGUCUUUUUUGCAGUUUGUAAAUAUUUAAUGUUUUUGAAUAUCUUUAUUUAAUUUGAGAUGUUUAAAAUCUUUAAGGUUCAUUUGUUUAGAUCAUGAAAGAAUAGAGUAAACAAUCUCUUCUCUGGUACAAAAAUAUUGUCUUAGUGUUUAUAUUAUAUGGAAAAUGUUUUAGUUUGUUCUAUUGUGUUUAAAUUGUUUUAACAUGAAACAAAAAUUGCUUAUCAGGUGCCUCUGUUAAACAGAUGAUUUAAUUUGCUCUUGUUGAACAUUGUUCAAUUCUAGUGAUUUGCUUAACACUAAUGUUUUUCAAAAACUUUAACAGAUAUGUUUUUCAUUGGUGUCUGUUGAGAGACAAUAAUAAACAGUUUUGCUAAACAAAUGUAGUUU